AACAGGGCCAAGGUUAGCAGGAGAGGCAAGGACAGAAGUGAGAGAUAACAUAGUAUUAUGAAAAUAGGGAGCCACAAGACAAGACCUGCAGUCAGCUUGUAGAAGCUGAAAAAAGUCAAGAAAGGGAAUGGUCCCAGAAUGUCCUGAGGGAAACAGCUUUGCUGAUACAUUGACCUCAUCACAGUGAGCCUGGAGUUGGAUGCCAGAUCUACAGGACUGAGGAAUAAAAGGCAAGCGGGUCCUGGCCCUUGCACUGCAGUUGAGGGAAUCUGAGGGCAGCAUGCAGGCACCAGCACCGAGGGAAGCUUUGGGCCUAGGCCGCAGGUUCCUAUCCUGAGACCAUAGCAGGAUGUGCCUUGGACAAAGAAAUGGUGGGGAGUGAAUCCCGGGAGCACCUGGACAAUGAAGACCGAAGACUGAGCAUGCCCAAAGUGACGUAACAG
rnacentral:lncRNA from 1 species